AUCCUUGGGAUUUGCCAGGUUAGUGACAUGCGUAUUACAUAGACAACUAUGUGACUUCAAAUGACUAGUUUAAUUGUUUCCUUUUUUAUAAUUCUGGGCUGCUGAAUUCUACAUAGAAACCAAUCUGCAAUGCCAUGUUCCUAUUCAUUUAGCUUGUGCUGAUACAUGGGGGUUCUGUGUUUUAGGUGAUUUGGAGCAAGAGAG
rnacentral:misc_RNA from 1 species